rnacentral:lncRNA from 12 species
CUCUGUGAUUGAGCUAGCAUCUGCCUUCAGUUGGGUAGCAAUCCCCUGGGCCCUGGGGUCUCCUAUUAGGCUCCCUAAGGGGAGCCUGCUUCUCCCUCUGCCUAUGUCUCUGCCUCUCUCGGUCUCUCCUGAAUAAGAGAACAAAAUCUUUAAAACAAAAAUAAAUAAAAUAAAAUAAGAAAACUGUAAAAUUCAGCCAUAUUUAAUAGCAUGGUCUACAAUUAAUGCCUUCUUUGUUUUGUAGCAGUGGACAGAAAGGAAAGGGUAAGAGGAAGGCCUGAUGAUAAGCGAAUGGCAGCUGCUCAUGACUCAGCCAGCUGGCGGUGCUGUCAGGAACCCUGGCAGGGAAAUGAAUAUAAACGAGUCCUGAAAGCAGAUGUUUUGGUCUGGGUAUAUCAUUGGAUAUCGUUUCAAAUCAAGUAUUUUCAGAAAGAACAGAGUACUCUUACAGAACCUCUGGGUACCAAGGAACCAGACCUUCUUACACAACCUCUGAGCGCCGAGAUAAUGCUGUAGCUGACAUCAUUGGUUCUGCAAGAAACCAAGAAAUGUCACAGAGCACUGUACUCCCUUAACUGAUUAAAUCCUUUUAAAAAUCUCUGGGUCAGACAGAAAAGGCUUUUGGACAAAGGUCUGCCUUUUCCCCAGGUGGCCAGCCUCCUGAAUAAAGCCCAUAUUCUUUUCCA